rnacentral:tRNA from 1 species
GUGAGUAGAGCUCAGUGGUAGAGCACGUGCUCAGCAUGCUUGAGGUCCUGGGUUCAAUCCCCGGUACCUCCA